rnacentral:lncRNA from 1 species
CGGGCCGUGACCUCGCCACCCCAGAAGCCCCUGGCAGAACCUGGCAGUGGUGGGCGGGCUGUGGGGUGGAUGCCCGGCCCUCGCUGCUGGUCUCCCUCUUCCCACCCCCGGGGAGCAGGCGCCCCCUCACCGGACACUGCCCUGUGAGUGGGCAGAUCCGAGCCCAUGGCCUCCAGAGGCCCCAUCCCCUCCCAGGAGGGCACAGACUUUAGGGUCCUCGUGGGGUGAGCAGGCCCCGCCCGUCCACCCUGGGCUCUGCCCAGAGUGGGUGCUGGGAAUCCCGAGGCCGUGUUAGCCCAAGGGUCCCGGGAGCGGCUCCACCUGGGGCCCAGGGGUCGGCCCCGCCCAGGCCUAGCCUCUCCAGGGGACAGCAGGGCCGGGUGGAGGCCAGGGCACUCACGGAAGAGGCUCUCCAGCCGGACCAUGCAGGCCACGAGCCGGCCAAGUCGAGGCAGAGCGUGCGGCCGGCGUAGCGAGUGGCGAUGGUGUGCUGCACCUGGGUGCUGACGCUGAACCCUGGGGCGAGAGCUGCUCACAGGGCCGCGCCUCGGGGUCCCGUGCACUGCCUCACACAGGCCCACCAGCCUCGCCCCCAGGCCUAGCCCAGCCUUGGAAGCAGGCGCCGCAGCUGCCUGUCCGCCAGCCCUGCCACCACUCCAGAGCCCCGCCUGCCACCUCCCAUGACAGGCUCUGCAGAGAGGAGCCCCAGGCCAGGCACGUGGGCACCUUGACCCCAACACUCCCAACGAUGUCCCUGCACCGCCCUCCGGGGACAACGACCUGAGAACGGAAGUGUCGGGGUGCUGAGGGCCAGCCGGUUCUCACCCGCCCUCCUGAGGGCUGUCCUCAUCUCGUGGGCAUCCACGGUCCCCAGGUGGCUGGGAUCCAUCUCCUGGAGAAUUACCAGGUACUUCCGGACCUUCAGGCAGAGCGCUCUGAGCUCAGUGGGUCCCAGGGCACCGUGCCAGAGCUCUGGGCUUGUUAAAGGCCAACACGACAAGCCCCACCCAUGCUGUGGCGCCCUCCUAUGAGCUUGGCAGCCUUGAGGCCUCAGAGCCUCUGGGUAGCCUUGGGGAAGGUGGGAAAGGCGCAUGCAGAUUAACAAGCUUGCACUGUUUCUCCUCUGCGAGAGCCCUCUGCCCUGCCACCCCGCCUUGGAGCCACUGAAUAUAGACUGAACCUCUGCGAACUGUGAGCUAAGUAAACCUUCCCUCCUCUGACUUUGGGUGCCUAGUGUUUUGUCUCAGCCACAAGCAAAG